rnacentral:rRNA from 1 species
GACGAACGUUGGCGGCGUGCUUAAUACAUGCAAGUCCACUGAAGCAGUGGUAGCAAUAUCGCUGUGGAGGUGGCGCACGGGUGAGUAACACGUAGGUAAUCUGCCUUCAGGUCUGGCAUAACUCCGGGAAACCGGGGCUAAUAGCAGAUGAUGCAGCUGCUCGACAUCGAGACAGUUGUUAAAGCUAUGGCGCCUGAAGAUGAGCCUGCGUCUGAUUAGCUAGUUGGCGGGGUAACGGCCCACCAAGGCAACGAUCAGUAGCUGGUCUGAGAGGAUGAUCAGCCACACUGGAACUGAGACACGGUCCAGAAUCCUACGGGAGGCAGCAGUAAGGAAUAUUGCUCAAUGGGAGAAAUCCUGAAGCAGCAACGCCGCGUGAGGGACGAAGGGCUUUUGCUUGUAAACCUCUGUAGUGAGAGAAAAAAAUCCCAAUCUUUGGGACAUGAUGGUAUCUCAAAAGUAAGCCCCGGCUAACUACGUG